GAGGUUCCGGUUCUGUGGUGAUCUGGACUGUCCCGACUGGGUCUUGGCAGAAAUCAGCACGCUGGCCAAGAUGGUUGAGUGCACAGGGUCUAGUCUGGGUGGAGGAGGGGUGUUGGGCUGGGGAUUGUGGGUGUAGAGGAUGGUGAGGUUUCUCUGGGGUUAGGCCCUCAGUGCUCUCAGCCUGUGCUACCAUGCUUUGUGACCUUGAUCAGUGGCUGGCCUGCUCUGAGGCUGUCCCCAGGAAGGAGGGGUGAGGUUUGCCAGCCUGGCUGAUGUAAGGACUUCCCUUCCAGUCCUCUGUGAAGUUGCGGCUGCUCUGCAGCCAGGUACUAAAGGAGCUGCUGGGACAGGGAAUUGAUGUGAGUACAAGACCCAGCACCCCAUUGUCCCAUGACCUUAUGACCCCCACUGCCCUGAAACUGUGCACUAGACCCGGGGAGACAGGUGAACCAGCCUCUCAACCUCUCUGGGCACCUCCCUUCCUUCUUUCCAGCUUGUCUGUUCCUUAUCGCAGGAUCCAGGCUAGGGGUGAGGGGCUGGUGAGCAGGGGCCUGGCACCCCCUGAAGGUCUCCUUUCCCCUUAGUAUGAGAAGAUCCUGAAGCUCACGGCUGACGCCAAGUUUGAGUCAGGUGAUGUGAAGGCCACAGUGGCAGUGCUGAGUUUCAUCCUCUCCAGUGCGGCCAAGCACAGUGUCGAUGGCGAAUCCUUGUCCAGUGAACUGCAGCAGCUGGGGCUGCCCAAAGGUACGGGUUGUGGGUGGGCAGCUGGGCAGCCUGUGGGCCAAGGGCUGCUAGAGAGGGGGACGGACCCUGAGGUGUACCCUGCCCUGUUUGGGCCAGGAGCCCAAGCUCAGCUCCCACCUGCUACCUCCAGAGCUACUCCAUUCUACCCCCAGAGCACGCGGCCAGCCUGUGCCGCUGUUAUGAGGAGAAGCAAAGCCCCUUGCAGAAGCACUUGCGGAUCUGCAGCCUACGCAGUAAGUAUGAGGCCAGCCAGGGUCCGGGCUCAUUCUAGAAGGUGCACGCAGCACGCAAAGUGCAUGGAGAGUCCAGGGAGACGACUUAACCAUGGUCACAUGGUUACUAGCAGCCGUAGAGCUGGGACCUGGCCCUGGGUCUCCUGACUCCCCCCAAGGUUUCUUGUCACUGAGGUCUGCUGUGGGUGAUCCAAACUUAUUAUCGGGCACUGCCCUGUUGUGAGCCUGGGUCAGCAAGAUGGGAGCUUCUUAGAGGCCACAUAGCCUUAAAAGGUUGAGAGCUGAGCCAGGGUGUCGGCUGAGGGCCACUUGUCUCGUCUGCUUUGAUCCUGAGAGCCACCCACCCCAUCUCACAGUGAAUAGGUUGGCAGGUGUGGGCUGGCGGGUGGACUACACCCUGAGCUCCAGCCUGCUGCGGUCCGUGGAAGAGCCCAUGGUGCACCUGCGGCUGGAGGUGGCAGCUGCCCCAGGGACCCCAGCCCAGCCUGUUGCCAUGUCCCUCUCAGCAGACAAGUUCCAGGUCCUCCUCGCAGAACUGAAGCAGGCCCAGACCCUGAUGAGCUCCCUGGGCUGAGGAGAAGGGUGUUGCAGGCCUGUGUGGAGCCGCCCUGCCCGUAUGGAGUCACACCCUCUGAACUGCUCUUUGGGAGGCAGCCCUGGUUCUAGGAUGCUGAGGCCCUGGCCU
rnacentral:sRNA from 1 species